UCAAGAGGCUGAAGAGAGAUGCUGCAGCACAGCUUGUAUGAGAAAACUAAAGCGUUUAAUGAACAUUAAAGCAUGUAAACAUGUUCUAGUAGAAACCCAAAAUCCAAGUAUGAACCU